rnacentral:rRNA from 1 species
AAUGAACGCUGGCGGCGCGCCUAAUACAUGCAAGUCGAGCGAGAAGACGUAGCAAUACGUUUGUAAAGCGGCGAACGGGUGAGGAAUACAUGGGUAACCUACCCUCGAGUGGGGAAUAACUAGCCGAAAGGUUAGCUAAUACCGCGUACGCUUCUUGGACUUCGGUUCAGGGAGGAAAGCGAUACCGUGGGUAUCGCGCUCUUGGAUGGGCUCAUGUCCUAUCAGCUUGUUGGNGAGGUACGC